UACAUCUUUGUGGGCAGUGGCGGAGGACGAAAAAAAAUUAAGGUAGGGCGAGGUAAGUCGAGCUAGCUUGUGCACAUCAAAUUUAGAGAAUGAAUCCCUCGGGUCAAGUCGUCAAGACAAGAAAAGGAAACAAGCAACUCUGAAGAUACCUCGUUAAACCUUUGAUCAAACUCUAUGGUAAUACUAGCAUCUAUAGCAGCAUAAAAGGUAUCAACACGAAAAUAAUGGUCAGCACAAGGAGCACUUGGCACCAGGUGUUUUGCGCGAGUACAGGAAGCGGCCCAUGUUCCAGACACAGAUUGAUUCGGGCAACUACGAUCAUUUGCCAACAGAGUUGAAGCCCCUUGGCAGGAUAUUCUAACCGUAGUGAUCUUGUUCUUGCUCCCUUUUCUUGAUCUUCCAAAUCCUGUCACUGAUUCAUUCAUAUUUGGUAUUGGAAUAUCAUUUUCACUGCAGAAUUUUGUGGCUUCCUGUAAUAGUGGCUCCCAACCAUCAUUCCUCAAAUUCAUCAAAUGUGUUUUCACAUCAAUAACCAAAGACAUGGCUUGAACAAUAUUUUGAUCCUUCCUUUGCAAGACAAGAGUCAUUUUGUGAUGCGAAGGAUUUGCAACAUCAUCUUCAUGAUGAACACAAAGCUAAACGACUCCAUGAUUUGCACUAAACCUCCUGCCCUACUUGGAUUACGCUCAUCUUCAUGCACAAUCUGUAGAACUUCAGUUACUGAAUCCCACAUUGAUUCAAGACGAAGUAAUGUCUUAUAAUGAGAACCACAUCUUGUAUCUCUAGGUCUAGUCAAGGAUGUUGCUUGAUUUUUCCCUCUGCCCUGAAGAAAUCUCU
rnacentral:lncRNA from 1 species